UACGGGGGGAGCAAGCGUUGUUCGGAUUUACUGGGCGUAAAGGGCGCGUAGGCGGCCACCGCAAGUCGGUUGUGAAAUCUCUGGGCUUAACCCAGAAAGGUCAACCGAUACUGCGGGGCUGGAGUGCAGAAGGGGCAACUGGAAUUCUCGGUGUAGCGGUGAAAUGCGUAGAUAUCGAGAGGAACACCUGCGGCGAAGGCGGGUUGCUGGGCUGACACUGACGCUGAAGCGCGAAAGCUAGGGGAGCGAACGGG
rnacentral:rRNA from 1 species